rnacentral:sRNA from 1 species
GGCAGCGUCACCAAAAAGCGCAAACUGGAGUCCACCGAGAGCCGCAGCAGCUUCUCACAGCACGCGCGCACUAGCGGGCGCGUGGCCGUGGAGGAGGUGGACGAGGAGGGCAAGUUUGUCCGGCUGCGCAACAAGUCCAAUGAGGUAGGCUCCUGCUCAGGGUCUAAGGGGAUACAGCUGCAUCAGGGAGAGAGUGGCAAGACAGAAGGAUGGCAUGUGGAGAGAGGAACAUCCUUGCCCUCAGAGGGUGGACCAGGGUGAGCCUGUAUAUCUCCUCCACACUCUAGUUCCAGGCCUGGCUCCUGGACUCUUUGGCUGUGAGACCUUGAGCAGGCUAUUUAACCUCUCAGAGCAUCAGUUUCCUCAUCUGUAAAAUGGGGAUGAAUACUGAUCCCUAAGUCUUUGAGUUGUCAGGAAGAUGAAGGAUAAGGUAUCCGUGUGCCUGGUGCUGCGUAUGUGUCCACAGAUCAUGGCUAUUAUCCCCGGGGGAAGGGCAGUGACAGGGGUGUGUGUAGAUGGAAGGAGAGGCCUCAAUUGCAGGCGGGCAGAGGGUUGGGCCUUUGAGCAAGAUACACCCAAGAGCCUGGGUGAGCCUCUCCGACCUUCCUCUUCCCUAUCUUCCCGGCAGGACCAGUCCAUGGGCAAUUGGCAGAUCAAGCGCCAGAAUGGAGAUGAUCCCUUGCUGACUUACCGGUUCCCACCAAAGUUCACCCUGAAGGCUGGGCAGGUGGUGACGAUCUGGGCUGCAGGAGCUGGGGCCACCCACAGCCCCCCUACCGACCUGGUGUGGAAGGCACAGAACACCUGGGGCUGCGGGAACAGCCUGCGUACGGCUCUCAUCAACUCCACUGGGGAAGUAAGUAGGCCUGGGCCUGGCUGCUUGCUGGACGAGGCUCCCCCUGAUGGCCAAUAUCGG